rnacentral:sRNA from 1 species
CUUGGGGCUGGGGGCGACCUGGACGAGGAGGAAGAGUGAGGGGCGGGAAACAAGGAUGGGCUCCCUCACCCCUGAAGUUAGCCAGCCAGGUGACCUGUGGAGACAUGGCUGGAGCACCCUCCA